rnacentral:rRNA from 1 species
UACAGGGGGUGCAAGCGUUGCUCGGAAUCACUGGGCGUAAAGGGUGCGUAGGCGGGUCUUUAAGUCAGGGGUGAAAUCCUGGAGCUCAACUCCAGAACUGCCUUUGAUACUGAAGAUCUUGAGUUCGGGAGAGGUGAGUGGAACUGCGAGUGUAGAGGUGAAAUUCGUAGAUAUUCGCAAGAACACCAGUGGCGAAGGCGGCUCACUGGCCCGAUACUGACGCUGAGGCACGAAAGCGUGGGGAGCAAACAGG